UGGGGAAUUGUUCGCAAUGGGCGAAAGCCUGACCCAGCAACGCCGCGUGAAGGAUGAAGUAUUUCGGUAUGUAAACUUCGAAAGAAUAGGAAGAAUAAAUGACGGUACUAUUUAUAAGGUCCGGCUAACUACGUGCCAGCAGCCGCGGUAAUACGUAGGGACCAAGCGUUGUUCGGAUUUACUGGGCGUAAAGGGCGCGUAGGCGGCAAUUCAAGUCAUCUGUGAAAUCUCCGGGCUUAACUCGGAACGGUCAGAUGAUACUGCUUUGCUAGAGUGCAGAAGGGGCAAUCGGAAUUCUUGGUGUAGCGGUGAAAUGCGUAGAUAUCAAGAGGAACACCUGAGGUGAAGACGGGUUGCUGGGCUGACACUGACGCUGAGGCGCGAAAGCCAGGGGAACAAACGGGAUUAGAUACCCGUGUAGUCCCUGAGCGGGCUGGCAAGGCGCAU
rnacentral:rRNA from 1 species